ACGUGAGAGGAGACUUCCGGCCACUGCGUUGUAGUCGGCCCGGCUGCAAAGCGUUUUUCUGCAGGCUGUUUUCCCAGGUUCCCUCGGCCUGUACCUCGCGCACUCCUCUUGCUCCAGGUCCUUCAGUCUCCGCUCGUCUCACCGUAGGCUGUGACGACAUGAGCAACAAAGAAGGAUCAGGAGGGUUCAGGAAAAGGAAGCAUGACAAUUUCCCACAUAACCAAAGAAGAGAAGGGAAGGAUGUUAAUUCAUCUUCACCCGUGAUGUUGGCCUUUAAAUCAUUUCAGCAGGAACUUGAUGCAAGGCAUGACAAAUAUGAGAGACUUGUGAAACUUAGUCGGGAUAUAACUGUUGAAAGUAAAAGGACAAUUUUUCUCCUCCAUAGGAUUACAAGUGCUCCUGAUAUGGAAGAUAUAUUGACUGAAUCAGAAAUUAAAUUGGAUGGUGUCAGACAAAAGAUAUUCCAGGUAGCCCAAGAGCUAUCAGGGGAAGAUAUGCAUCAGUUCCAUCGAGCCAUUACUACAGAAGUUUACAGGCAAGAUCCUACUCACAGAGGCUCUUGGGAUCAAGGCUGACAGAAGCUCCAUCUGAAGACUUUUAUACUAUAGAGGCAGAAAAAGAGUGAUGAAUCAAGCACUGGCUUCUAAAGCUUCCGCCCAGAUGGGAAGCAUAUCUCCUCUGCUCACAUUUCCCUGACCAAAGCCAGUCACAUGGCCAUCCUCAGCUUCAGAGAGGUUGGGAAGGCAUUCCCACUAUGUGUCUGGAUGCCAGCAACUCAGAAAUAUUUGGCAGCCGGGAUUGCUUACCACCUGCAGCGUGCUUUCGGAGGCGGCGGCUGGCACGGAGGCCGGGCUACAUGAGAAGCUCGACAGGGCCUGGGAUCGGGUUCCUUUCCCCAGCAGUGGGCACACUGUUCCGGUUCCCAGGAGGGGUGUCUGGCGAGGAGUCCCACCACUCGGAGUCCAGGGCCAGACAGUGUGGCCUUGACUCGAGAGGCCUCUUGGUCCGGAGCCCUGUUUCCAAGAGUGCAGCAGCCCCUACUGUGACCUCUGUGAGAGGAACCUCGGCGCACUUUGGGAUUCAGCUCAGAGGUGGCACCAGAUUGCCUGACAGGCUUAGCUGGCCGUGUGGCCCUGGGAGUGCUGGGUGGCAGCAAGAGUUUGCAGCCAUGGAUAGUUCUGAGACCCUGGACGCCAGCUGGGAGGCAGCCUGCAGCGAUGGAGCAAGGCGUGUCCGGGCAGCAGGCUCUCUGCCAUCAGCAGAGUUGAGUAGCAACAGCUGCAGCCCUGGCUGUGGCCCUGAGGUCCCCCCAACCCCUCCUGGCUCUCACAGUGCCUUUACCUCAAGCUUUAGCUUUAUUCGGCUCUCGCUUGGCUCUGCCGGGGAACGUGGAGAAGCAGAAGGCUGCCCACCAUCCAGAGAGGCUGAGUCCCAUUGCCAGAGCCCCCAGGAGAUGGGAGCCAAAGCUGCCAGCUUGGACGGGCCUCACGAGGACCCGCGAUGUCUCUCUCGGCCCUUCAGUCUCUUGGCUACACGGGUCUCUGCAGACUUGGCCCAGGCCGCAAGGAACAGCUCCAGGCCAGAGCGUGACAUGCAUUCUUUACCAGACAUGGACCCUGGCUCCUCCAGUUCUCUGGAUCCCUCACUGGCUGGCUGUGGUGGUGAUGGGAGCAGCGGCUCAGGGGAUGCCCACUCUUGGGACACCCUGCUCAGGAAAUGGGAGCCAGUGCUGCGGGACUGCCUGCUGAGAAACCGGAGGCAGAUGGAGGUAAUAUCCUUAAGAUUAAAACUUCAGAAACUUCAGGAAGAUGCAGUUGAGAAUGAUGAUUAUGAUAAAGCUGAGACGUUACAACAAAGAUUAGAAGACCUGGAACAAGAGAAAAUCAGCCUGCACUUUCAACUUCCUUCAAGGCAGCCAGCUCUUAGCAGUUUCCUGGGUCACCUGGCAGCACAAGUCCAGGCUGCCUUGCGCCGUGGGGCCACUCAGCAGGCCAGCGGAGAUGACACCCACACCCCACUGAGAAUGGAGCCGAGGCUGUUGGAACCCACUGCUCAGGACAGCUUGCACGUGUCCAUCACGAGACGAGACUGGCUUCUUCAGGAAAAGCAGCAGCUACAGAAAGAAAUCGAAGCUCUCCAAGCAAGGAUGUUUGUGCUGGAAGCCAAAGAUCAACAGCUGAGAAGGGAAAUAGAGGAGCAAGAGCAGCAACUCCAGUGGCAGGGCUGCGACCUGACCCCACUGGUGGGCCAGCUGUCCCUGGGUCAGCUGCAGGAGGUCAGCAAGGCCUUGCAGGACACCCUGGCCUCAGCCGGUCAGAUUCCCUUCCAUGCAGAGCCACCGGAAACCAUAAGGAGCCUCCAGGAAAGAAUAAAAUCCCUCAACUUGUCACUUAAAGAAAUCACUACUAAGGUGUGUAUGAGUGAGAAAUUCUGCAGCACCCUGAGGAAGAAAGUUAACGAUAUUGAAACCCAACUACCAGCCUUGCUUGAAGCCAAAAUGCAUGCCAUAUCAGGAAACCAUUUCUGGACGGCUAAAGACCUCACCGAGGAGAUUAGAUCAUUAACAUCAGAGAGAGAAGGGCUGGAGGGACUCCUCAGCAAGCUGUUGGUGUUGAGUUCCAGGAAUGUCAAAAAGCUGGGAAGUGUUAAAGAAGAUUACAACAGACUGAGAAGAGAAGUGGAGCACCAGGAGACUGCCUAUGGUAGGUAGUGCACAACUGUUCCCCGGCAAGAUAUUGAUGAUAUUUGUUGUGUUUUGUGGCCAGGCAGAAUGUUCUGUGCCUUAUGUGAACGUCACUGUGAAGAGCGUCAUGGAGCACAUGGCCCUUUUCCUUGGGGACAUUUUUGGCAGGUGCCUUGGCAAACCGAAUGGAAUUACUUGUCAGCUUUUGUUUUCAUAUUCACAUGUGACAUCUUUUCUUUUUCUGUUCCCUGUCUCAACCUGUGUUUGCUAAUAGCCUUGUUAUUAUUUAGAGCAGUCUCUCCCUUGGCAAGGUCUUGAGCAUUUUCUUUGUGUGACAAUUAUCUUCCUUUUGUCCCUUGGCUCCGUCUCCUUGUCUGCACAAUCAUAGACUAAAUCAGGCUGAUCUGAGAAAAUUGAGGGAAGACCAUAAAGUGGCUCUUCUAUGUGUGGACUUUUCUGAGAGCUUCUUUCCCCAGGAAGGAUGAUGUAGAAGAUGUGAAUGCCGCCUUAGCCAAAGUGUCUGCUUGUCAGAGGAGUUCAAGUGUUCCUGUGUUCUUUCCUUUUCCAGUCGUUAGGAGUAACUGAGCUUACUCUGAGAUUUGCACCCAGAGGGAUGGUCUCAGAAGACGCUGGUUCAGUGCAAAUUGAGAUGGUAAAAACUUAUUUCUUAAAAAAUGGUUCCUAAAUAAAUGUCAUUUACUAAAACAAAUGAAAGAAAUAUAUAUAUGAAUAAAUGGCUAUAUUUU
rnacentral:lncRNA from 1 species